GCCAUGGGAACAUCUCAGCUAGUAGAGCACGAGACUCUUAAUCUCAGGCCUGUGGGUUCAAACCCCACGUUGGGCG